UAAGAGACACCAUCUGAGAAACAAGGUAUGAGUAAACAAUCAGAGGAAAAUUGGAAACUGACUACUUAAGAGAAAGGAACAGGGAGAUGAAAGCAAGGACAAAGGCAGGUCACUUUACUUAGGGAAAAGAAAAGUGGCCCAAAAUAUAGUCAUCUUCUAGAUUUCAGUGAACAUCAUUCAUUCGUCUAGAAGCAUACGGCAGUAGAAUGAGCCAAGUUUCUAUUAAACAAAUUCUACUUUGUUUUCAUUGAAUUAAGUAGUUCAAUGUGUCAAGUUUCCAGAAACUGC
rnacentral:lncRNA from 1 species